ACCAUGACUUUGGGGGGGGGGGGGGAUACACAAGAUAUGACUUACUAUAAUACGUCUAAGCCAAACUGUUGAAAAAGAAACAAGUUAUCUAAAUACGUUGUCCUUCUAAUCUAGUUUCUCCACUGAGAACUAUUCAGUCCUGACAGAGUAUACAGGAUAGCAUCAGUAAAACCAGGCUGAAAACCAGCAGCAGCACCAGAACGAGGUGCUGGGCCAUCUGGGAGAUCCAGGAGGAUUUGAGGGGAUGUGAACUAGUGCUAGGCUGUCUGGACUUCAGAUACUGCUCCACAGAGUCUGCCAGGUCGUAGGACUUUGGAGAGUAACCCAGCUCCUGACGGGCCUUGUUGAUCUUAAAGCCCAUCCAGUCACGACGGAUGGCUGUUUGACACGAGUCUUGUUCUACUCAAGGUUAAGCCUGUUAACAGACACUCAUCGAUCCCCCGAGCAGCAGCUGUCUGACAGAGUGAGCUGCGGGUGCAGGCCCACGGGCCCAGCUUUGGUUUCUGCCUCAUCACACAUUCAUGAGGACUUUACCGGCCAUGACGGAGGCUCCUUGAGAGGCACAACGAUGACGGCCUCCCUGGGCAGGAUUUCAACCAACUGCCUUCAAACUGAUACAUCAGACAUCUUCUAUUUUUCAAACGUGUUCGGACAUCUCAAAAUGCUUCCACUGAUCUUGUCAUCUGCUAUCAUUUGUGAAC